rnacentral:rRNA from 1 species
UACGUAGGUGACAAGCGUUGCCCGGAUUUACUGGGCGUAAAGAGCGCGCAGGCGGUCGAUCAAGUCGGGUGUGAAAGCCCCCGGCUCAACUGGGGAGGGUCAUUCGAUACUGAUCGACUCGAAGGCAGGAGAGGGUAGUGGAAUUCCCGGUGUAGUGGUGAAAUGCGUAGAUAUCGGGAGGAACACCAGUGGCGAAGGCGACUACCUGGCCUGUUCUUGACGCUGAGGCGCGAAAGCUAGGGGAGCAAACGGG